rnacentral:tRNA from 1 species
UAUAAAGUAGUAUUUUAAGUACGGUGGGUUUUGAUCCUACAGGAGCGAACUAAUUAGCGCCUUUAUAU